rnacentral:misc_RNA from 1 species
GAUGAAGAACGUAGCGAAAUGCGAUAAGUAGUGUGAAUUGCAGAAUUCAGUGAAUCAUCGAAUCUUUGAACGCACAUUGCGCCCCCUGGUAUUCCGGGGGGCAUGCCUGUUCGAGCGUCAUUACAACCCUCAAGCUCUGCUUGGUAUUGGGCCCCGCCAGUUCUGGCGGGCCCUAAAGUCAGUGGCGGUGCCUUCCGGCUCCGAGCGUAGUAAUUCUUCUCGCUCUGGAGACCCGGUUGUGUGCUUGCCAACAACCCCCAAUUUUUUAAGGUUGACCUCGGAUCAGGUAGGGAUACCCGCUGAACUUAAGCAUAUCAAUAAGCGAGGA